UUUCCGUAGGUGAACCUGCGGAAGGAUCAUUAUUGUAUAACCGAGGUGCGAGGGCUGUCGCUGACCCGAAAGGUCCUGCACGCCCGAGUGCCCUCACACACAUCCAUCUCACCCCUAUGUGCACCACCGCGUGGGUCCCCCUUUGGCUUGUUCGGAGGGGGGCUUACGUUUUCACACAAACUUUGUAUGCAGUGUAGAAUGUAUUUUUUUUUUUUGCGAUCACGCAAUCAAUACAACUUUCAACAACGGAUCUCUUGGCUCUC
rnacentral:misc_RNA from 1 species